AAAUAAUUCAUUAAACAAAAUUAUUCACCAGAGAACUACUAGCAACAGCUUAAAACUCAAAGGACUUGGCGGUGCUUUAAACCCUCCUAGAGGAGCCUGUUCUAUAAUCGAUAAACCCCGAUAGACCUCACCACCUCUUGCUAAUUCAGUCUAUAUACCGCCAUCUUCAGCAAACCCUUAAAAGGAACAAGAGUAAGCACAAUCAUCUUGCAUAAAAAAGUUAGGUCAAGGUGUAACCCAUGGGGUGGGAAGAAAUGGGCUACAUUUUCUAUUCAAGAACAACUUACGAAAGUUUUUAUGAAACUAAAAACUAAAGGUGGAUUUAGUAGUAAAUCAAGAAUAGAGAG
rnacentral:rRNA from 1 species